rnacentral:lncRNA from 1 species
AGAGACGGUAGAGUUGGAAUAUCUGGUCUUAGAUUAUUCCCCCUCUUUUAUCUUAUCCUGAGCCUUUCCAUACCAGAGAAGAAGAAAAAAUAACCAAAUCUUUCGUUUUUUUAAGAAUUUAUUUAAGUAUAUAAUAUGAGUCGAUAUUAAUGGAGUCAAGUGGAUAAGAUAUUCAACUGCCAAAGUGAUGACAUGUAAGUUCAUUUCUUUUGUUUCAUUCACGCCGUUUUCCUCCCCUUUUCUUCUCCCCUAGCAGAAAGAUAUAUAUAGCAAUCUGACAUGACAUGAUUCGUAGUAGAACAAUUAUUUUAGCUGAUUUCAUGUAUGGUAUGUUGUUUUUUGAGAAAAAUGAGGAUAGUGAUUUAAAUUCAUUGAAGUUCUUUUGGUUAGAGAAUAUAAGGAAAGACAAUAAUUGAUCAGCUAAGUGUAUAUAUUUUCAAGAAUUAAAUGGAAUAAAGUUUAUCAUCAUUAUCAUUUGUCAAAAAUAUUUACACAGUAGAAAGGUGAUAAAAAUUCAAAUAUAGUCAAAACUUAUAUGCUCACAACCAUCAAAUCAAAAAAUGCAAAAUAUGUAUUCUGUUAUAAGAGAAAUCAAAUUAUGUUGGAUGUCUACUCUUCCUCCAUGAUCUUCUCAAAUACUUAAUGACAUAUUCAAUGACAUAUUUCUAUGCUUAAUGACAUAUUCAAUGACAUAUUUUUAUUCACUUUUCAUGUCUAUAUAAAGGCCUUGUAAUAGAUAGGAAAAACACACAAUUGAAGAAGAAAUAAGAAUCUCUCUUCUUCUCUUUCUCUCUAUAUCUCUUAGCUUGUUUUUUCUUGUUCGAUAUUGUUAUUUUGAGUUAUAUUUAUAACAUGUUAUCAGCACGAUUGUCACCUUCAUUUUUACAAUCAGAUCCUAAUUGUGUUCGAUUCUCCUUCAGGUAUG